GACGAACGCUGGCGGCGUGCUUAACACAUGCAAGUCGAACGGAAAGGCCCUGCUUUUGUGGGGUGCUCGAGUGGCGAACGGGUGAGUAACACGUGAGUAACCUGCCCUUGACUUUGGGAUAACUUCAGGAAACUGGGGCUAAUACCGGCUAGGAGCUCCUGCUGCAUGGUGGGGGUUGGAACGUUUCGGCGGUUGGGGAUGGACUCGCGGCUUAUCAGCUUGUUGGUGGGGUAGUGGCUUACCAAGGCUUUGACGGGUAGCCGGCCUGAGAGGGUGACCGGCCACAUUGGGACUGAGAUACGGCCCAGACUCCUACGGGAGGCAGCAGUGGGGAAUAUUGCACAAUGGGCGGAAGCCUGAUGCAGGAACGCCGCGUGCGGGAUGACGGCCUUCGGGUUGUAAACCGCUUUCGCCUGUGACGAAGCGUGAGUGACGGUAAUGGGUAAAGAAGCACCGGCUAAAUACGUG
rnacentral:rRNA from 1 species